rnacentral:rRNA from 1 species
CAGCAGCCGCGGUAACACGUAGGGCGCAAGCGUUGUCCGGAAUUAUUGGGCGUAAAGAGCUCGUAGGCGGUCUGUCGCGUCUGGUGUGAAAUCCCGAGGCUCAACCUCGGGCUUGCAUCGGGUACGGGCAGACUAGAGUGCGGUAGGGGAGACUGGAAUUCCUGGUGUAGCGGUGGAAUGCGCAGAUAUCAGGAGGAACACCGAUGGCGAAGGCAGGUCUCUGGGCCGCAACUGACGCUGAGGAGCGAAAGCAUGGGGAGCGAACAGGAUUAGAUACCCGAGUAGUCCCUGUCUCUUAUAC